rnacentral:rRNA from 1 species
UACGUAGGGGGCAAGCGUUGUCCGGAUUUAUUGGGCGUAAAGCGUGCGCAGGCGGUUUUGUAAGCCAGAUGUGAAAUCCCCGGGCUCAACCUGGGAAUGGCAUUUGGGACUGCAAGGCUGGAGUGCGGCAGAGGAGACUGGAAUUCCUGGUGUAGCAGUGAAAUGCGUAGAUAUCAGGAGGAAUACCGAUGGCGAAGGCAGGUCUCUGGGCUGACACUGACGCUCAUGCACGAAAGCGUGGGGAGCAAACAGG